GCCUGUGGUACAUCGCAGCAGCGCUCUGCUGGUGAUGCGCCGCCUGCCUCGGCGAGCCCAGCAGCUCCGGCGCCAUGAACCCGGCGUGGUCGCUGAACCAGUAAGGGUUAGCUACUGAUGGGUCCUGCACUCCUGCUGAUGGGCACUGUAACUGUAACUAAUGUUCACCAGGUAUCUAUCUGAUACGAUGCAUUCUGUUACCUGCAUGUACUCUGUAUCCGUCAUGGAAUCAAUUCUUUGUUUUAGAUCA